CAGGGGUCUUAACAAGCAAGGCUACCAAUGCCGGCAAUGCAAUGCUGCCAUUCACAAGAAGUGCAUCGAUAAAGUGAUUGCGAAGUGUACCGGGUCGGCGAUCAACAGCAGAGAAACCAUGUUCCACAAGGAGAGGUUUAAGAUCGACAUGCCCCACCGCUUUAAAGUCUACAACUACAAGAGCCCGACCUUCUGUGACCACUGCGGCACGCUGCUCUGGGGCCUCGCGAGGCAGGGCUUGAAAU